ensembl:lncRNA
AGCAUUCACCAAGGAUGAACUGAAAGCAGGAUCUGUCUCACCAUACACUGAGAACUGUAGAAUAUGCAAGGCACAUGGAACUUAUUUUCUUACGUAUAAAAGCGUGUAUAUGCUCCUUAUACAUCUGUCCUAAUGCUUUCCAACAGUCCUCACUCUAAGCCUCACCAAGACCCAGAUGAGGAAACAAAGGCACAGAGGGAUAAACUCAGAGCAGGAAGACAGCAAGGAAUAGCAGUGAAAAGCAUGGUGCUUAAUCCAACCCCUUACUCACUGCUGAGACCUGGAAAUGUGUUCAUCAGCUACAAAACAGGAGAGAUGAUAACUCAUUAUGUAUAUGUGAUGAUAAACAGAGACAAUAUAUUGAAGAGCUUAUAUGAGUGGCAGACACGGGACAUGCUUCCCUGUGGCUGGCCAGCGUGUCAUCUUCUCCAUGUGUCCAGAGAAAAGCUUUGCAAAUCAACCUCUCGAUGAAUGAUGACGGCACCAGUGAAAUCAGGGGAGGCAGAAAAUCAUGAACAUUGAGCAGUGCUCGUGCUGGGUGGAUUGUGAUGUGGAAACCCUGGGAGAUGUCACGUCUGACAUCAACUUUCUCCCAGGUGACAGCUGCACCCUCUAAAGGCUUCUCAAAUGACAGAGCUCAAUGAAUAUAGAAGGGAAAAGUAUGAGGAUGACCUAUGAGCACAGGGUGGACAGUCUCUGCGGUGGGCAGGCAUUAGCAAAGGAGAGACCUUCUGUAUUAUGCAGAGUGGAAUUUUCCAGAGGCUACAUGAUGAGUGACGUCACGACAGAUUGAGUACAGAGCCAACUAUGAGAAUCCAGCUGCCUUCUAUUAAGGUACCCUUUCUGUGGAUACCUUCAAGUUCCAGCACCAAAUAUGAAGGCGACUGCCAUCACCAGCUCCCACCCCUACAUGAGGUCAAAUCCCUGGAUGGCAUAUAACACACUAGAGCAAUUAAGAGGAUCUAACUAAAGGUGGGGAAGGAAAAAUGUGUGUACAGAGACAGGAAGUCAUGGACACAGUUAUAUUGAAAGAUACAAUGACCUCCUCCUCCU